CCAGUGUGAAUAUCCCCAAGCGGUCACUGUCCCUGGGCCCUGUCCAGGCGCCACAGGGGAGGAGCACAGGGCUCUCACCGAUACACAACCCCUUUCCACGUCGGAGAGAACGCCAGGCCUUGAGUCUGACUGCAUAUUCGUGUAGCUUCUCAGAGUCCCGGACAAUGACUGAGGAGACAAACCAUAAAGGGAACAUCU